GAUGAAGAACGUAGCGAAAUGCGAUACGUAAUGUGAAUUGCAGAAUUCAGUGAAUCAUCGAAUCUUUGAACGCAUAUUGCGCUCUCUGGUAUUCCGGAGAGCAUGCUUGUUUGAGUAUCAGUAAACACCUCAACUUCCAUAUCUUUUUUGAAAUGGGAGUUGGACUUGAGUGAUCCCAACGCUUUUCCUCACCGAAAAGUGGCGGGUUACUUGAAAUGCAGGUGCAGCUGGACUUUUCUCUGAGCUAUAAGCAUAUCUAUUUAGUCUGCCUAAAAAACAGAUUAUUACCUUUGCUACAGCUAACAUAAAGGAGAUUAGUUCUUGUGCUGACUGAUGCAGGAUUCACAAAGACGGCUUCGGCCGACUUUGUAAACUCGAUCUCAAAUCAAGUAAGACUACCCGCUGAACUUAAGCAUAUCAAUAAGCGGAGGA
rnacentral:misc_RNA from 1 species